UUUGCACACGACAACAGAGUGAAAAACAAGAAAGCAGAGUGAACAUGACAUUUACAAAGCAGCAGAAAACUUUGGCCUGAAGGACCUGAAGGCCAAAACCAAGGCUGGGAUGAAAGUGGUGCAGUAGGUGGUUCCAAUCAAAGGAGGUUUUGCAAGAUCAGUCCUGGGAGAGAAGCUGUCACCAGUGGAGAGGUGCCAGGCUGCGGGAGAAGUGGAGUGCUGCUCCCAUGGCCGCCAUGAGACACGUGACGUGCAUGAUUGCAUUAGCUUGUCGCCAAUCAUAUAAUGAAGUCUCUGCCAGAGCAGACACAAGUCUGGCCACGCCCCUGCAGCGGGGAAAAGAAUGCGAUCGCUGGGAUUAACAAGGAAGGAGCCCGAAGGGAAGCGGAGCGAAGCCUUUUUGCCGGAGAGAGAUAGCAAGAUUCAGGAGCUUAGCGCUGUCAAAUGUUUUAUUCAGCCAUGACCGAGAGCGCCGCCAAACAGAUUAGCUUGUUUACCACAGGUUCUCAUUUAACAGAUAAAUCUUUCAAUGUUGGAUUUGGCUGGCAGAGGUGGACAGGGACAGCAACCAUGUCACGCUCGGUUGUUAGGGAUGGAAUGCAGCUGCAACUUCAUGAAACAAAAGCAGGAUCAAUCACCAGGCAACAAGUGGACUAUGAACCUUCAUUUUAGCUAAAAGCAUUUCCAGCGAGGAAUCGAGACAAACUGAAGACUUACUUUUAGUCUAACUGGGAGGUCACUUCUCAAAGUCACAUUUAUAAAAAGUCAAGGGAUCAUGAAGGACACAUGCAAGGGGAUGAAGGAAAACAGACUGUACAUCUCAGAACUUCAACAGUUUGUCAAGUGAGAUCAAAAACUGACCCAAAAUCUCAGAAAAAAGGGCAGCUGGACUCAACCUAAGAGAUAGUCCAAGGAGUUCAGUCAUCCGGGAAGAGCUCAGUGUAGAACUCGCUGAAGUGGCUCGGGUAUCUAAUCUGGAUUCUUCCUGGAUGCCACCCUGGUGAGGCAUUCCGGGCAUGCCCAGAGGAGGUCCCGUUGAAGACCCAGGAUACGCUCGAUGGACUAUGUCCUGCAGCUGGCCAGGGAAUUCUUCUGUGUCCUGGAAGAGGCAGCUUGAGUCCCGGACAUCUGUGCUUCCUUAAUAUGCUGGAAUCUAGCUCGUCUGACUUUGGACAAGAAGCAGGGUCAGGGGUAUGGUGGACUCUAUCUUGCCUGAGUUUGGACAAGAAGCAGGGUCACAGG